AGAAUUUUGUAUUUGAUAAAAUUAAAAAAAAUUUAAUAUUUGUUUAAAGGGGACAUACAUUAGUACUAAUAUUGACAAUGAGGGUUCCUGGUGAAUUUCCUUCAAAUUAAAGGCGCAUACAGAUAUAUUACUAUAUUAUUUUUCUUUGAAUAGAAAUAUGUAUAUGUUCAUUCGGACAAGAGCCAUUUGCCGUAACAGUACGGGCGAGGUGUAUGGAUCUUCGAUUCAAUUUAGAUCGUCUUCACCACCACCUAGCGCCGUGAAAUGGAGAGUGGUUGUCCCUUGUCGUUAAUAGGCGGCUAUUGGCCAACACCAAUGGGACAAGGGCCACUAGACGGCGUGAUUAAUGGAUGCACCAGGAAUCACCACACACGAAUAUGUCCUUUUUGGCCGACAAAUUAGUUGGUAAAGAGGAAAAAUUAAAUAAAAUACGACUUACAUAAUCGAUCACGAAAUAGGACCGGGGGUUGAACAACCGGACGACCAGGAGAGAAACGCAACAGCACACAGCGGAAUCACCAGGUGAUCCUUGAGGUAUUCCAGAUUUUUCGUUAACAAUUGGUGUUGAUCGAAUCGGCCUGCAGGCGGUGGUGUUGCUGCUGAUGGGCGAUGUUGAACGUCCAGAUAAAGGAUGAUAUGACCAUGCGGUCGCCCACUCGUAACUGGUCUCAGCAGUGCCUGGUGCCGCCGUGAUCCAAUCACGACCUUUCGCGCCGUGUUUACCGCCUGCGAUGCUGCGUGCGAUUCUGUGUUUGUGCGUCGUGUGCCUGGCCAUCCGGGUAUCAGCUUU